rnacentral:rRNA from 1 species
UUGAUAGAAAACUACAAAUUCUAUCCGCCCGGGAACUACGAGCAUAAGCUUAAAACCCAAAGGACUUGGCGGUGCUUUAGACCCCCCUAGAGGAGCCUGUUCUAGAACCGAUAACCCCCGUUAGACCUCACCUUUUCUUGUCUAUCCCGCCUAUAUACCGCCGUCGUCAGCUUACCCUGUGAAGGAUUAAUAGUAAGCAAAACUGGUAAAACCCAAAACGCCAGGUCGAGGUGUAGCAUACGAAAAGGAAAGAAAUGGGCUACAUUUCCUUCCCCCAGGAAACACGAAUUGUGCUAUGAAAUAACACAUGAAGGUGGAUUUAGCAGUAAGCAGAAAACAGAGAGUUCCGCUGAAACCGGCCCUGAAGCGCGC